rnacentral:rRNA from 1 species
AGGGAGUUUGAUCCUGGCUCAGAACGAACGCUGGCGGCGCGUCUUAAGCAUGCAAGUCGAGCGGUAAGUUGUAGCUUGCUACAACCUAGAGCGGCGGACUGGUGAGUAACGCGUGGGUGACGUACCCUUGUGACGGGGACAGCUCCUAGAAAUAGGAGAUAAUACCGGAUACGCUGUGCAUUGUCAGAGGAUGUACAGGAAAGGAUCUUUUGAUCCGCACGAGGAGCGGCCCGCGUACUAUUAGCUGGUUGGUGAGGUAACGGCUCACCAAGGCGACGAUAGUUACCCGGCCUAAGAGGGUGAUCGGGCACAUUGGGACUGAGAUACGGCCCAGACUCCUACGGGAGGCAGCAGCUAAGAAUAUUCCGCAAUGGACGAAAGUCUGACGGAGCGACGCCGCGUGGAUGAUGAAGGCCGGAAGGUUGUAAAAUCCUUUUAUGACUGAGGAAUAAGUUCUCUGAGAGAAACGGAGGAUGGUGACUGUAGGUCAUGAAUAAGCAACGGCUAAUUACGUGCCAGCAGCCGCGGUAACACGUAAGUUGCGAGCGUUGUUCGGAAUUAUUGGGCGUAAAGGGCAUGUAGGCGGUUCUGCAAGUCUGGUGUGAAAUACCGGGGCUCAACCCCGGAACUGCGUUGGAAACUGCAGGACUUGAAUCGCUGAGGGGCAGCCAGAAUUCCAGGUGUAGGGGUGAAAUCUGUAGAUAUCUGGAAGAAUACCAAUGGCGAAGGCAGGCUGCCAGCAGAUGAUUGACGCUGAGGUGCGAAGGUGCGGGGAGCAAACAAGAUUAGAUACCCUGGUAGUCCCCU